GAACGGGGAGGAGCCCAGAGCCUGAAUCAGUGUGUGUGUUAGUGGAAGCGUCUGGAAAGGCGCGCGAUACAGGGUGACAGCCCCGUACACAAAAAUGCACAUACUGUGAGCUCGAUGAGUAGGGCGGGACACGUGGUAUCCUGUCUGAAUAUGGGGGGACCAUCCUCCAAGGCUAAAUACUCCUGACUGACCGAUAGUGAACCAGU
rnacentral:rRNA from 1 species